GGUAGAGAGAGUCCGGCUGCCGCGGCGUUCGGGUCGGAGACGUCCCGUUCGUCCAACGCGGGCCUGCCUCAGGGCGGCCCGCGCCCGCGAGGAAAGUCCCCCCACCGUCCGGGCGGGUGACCGAUGAGGGCGCGCGAACCCGACCGCGAGGGAGGGGAGUUGACCCGCCGAGGACAGACGGUCGAGGAACGAUGGAACGGCGAAACCUCGCCGGUGCAAGUCCGCGCUACGGGGUAGCCCGGACGCGGCGCGGACGCUCAGCCGAAUGCCGGAACGAACAGAAGGGGGCUUACUCCUCUCUGCC
rnacentral:RNase_P_RNA from 1 species